rnacentral:tRNA from 1 species
GCUCAGUUGGUAGAGCGACGCAUUCGUAAUGCGUAGGUCAUCGGUUCGAAUCCGAUCA